rnacentral:rRNA from 1 species
AUGGAGGCUGCUCUUGUCACCGUUUCCACGGGGGUGAUGAAGCCCCUCCUGUCCAAGCUCUUCAAGCUGCCGCUGGACGAGCACCGGAAGCUCCAAGGCGUCCGCCGUGACGCCAAGUUCAUAGGAGACGAGCUUCGCAGCAUGAAGGCUGCACUGGAGGUGCUUGCGGAUGAAGAACAACUCGAACCUGCGAUGAGAAUUUGGCGGGAUGAUGUCCGUGAGCUUUCUUAUGACAUGGAAGAUUGCAUUGAUGUCUUUGUGGCUCAUGUCGACCAUGAGCCCGAUGGGCGUACCAUGCUCAAGAAGUUCGUUGACAUGUUGAAGAAGCCCAAACAUCGCCAUCAGGCUGCUAGUGAGAUAGGUAAACUCAAGGCCCGUGUGGCUGAGGCAAGCGAGAGGCACAAGAGGUAUAAUAUUAUCCGGCCAACACCUUGCAUUAGCUCUUGUGCCAUUGACCCCCGGCUGCCGGCGCUUUACGCGGAGGUUGAUGAACUUGUCGGCAUUGAUGGUCCUAAGGACGAUAUCAUCGACUGGUUUCAGUGGGAGGCUACUUCUACGCAGCCUCAAGUGCUGUCUAUUGUUGGUUCUGGCGGUCUUGCUUUUGUGUCGGUUUCUCGAAAUCCUGAUAUGAGAAAGAUUCUAAGAGAUAUUGCUCAAGGAGUGGGGUUCACAGACAGCCCACCGGAUGAUGAUGUGCAACAAUUGAUCAGUAAACUCAGGCAACAUCUUAAAAACGAAAGGUACUUUGUUGUAAUUGAUGAUGUGUGGAGCGCGGACGUAUGGGAAACUAUCAGGCUUGUAUUAUUGAAUAAUAAUAACCAUGGGAGUAGAAUUAUUACUACAACACGUAAUACUGAAGUUGCAUCAUGUUGUUCUUCAGGUGGUGGUCAUGUUUAUAAAAUGGAACCCCUUACGUUUGAUGACUCCAAAAGGUUGUUUUUUAGAAGAACAUUUGGUCCUGAGGAUUUAUGCCAUCCUCAUCUGGAAAAAGUCUCUAAUGACAUAUUAAGAAAAUGUUCUGGCCUACCAUUGGCUAUUAUUACUGUGUCUAGUUUGUUGGCUGAUCAGCAUGCAGAAGAUGAAUGGAAGAGGGUGUUAGCUGCUAUUGGUUCUGCACUUGCAAAGGAUUCUGGUGCUGAUAAGAUGACAAAGAUAUUAUCUUUCAGCUACUUUGAUCUUCCUCACCAUCUGAGAGCCUGUUUGUUGUACUUGAGUAUAUUUCCAGAAGAUUCUACUAUCUGGAAACAACAUUUGAUACAUAUGUGGGUCGCUGAAGGAUUCAUUCAU